CAUGCCCUGGCAAUGUUAUCACCAUAACUGUUAACUAACAUAAAUUGCUUUUCUGUUAAACAAUUUUCGCCUUAUCUAUUAACACUGCCUCGGCUACUCUGCUGGAGGGUGAAGAACUGUUGUUGGCUGUUCUUUUGUUGCUGUGCUAGUCGUCAUCAUCGUCAACAACGAAGCUUCAGAACCCUUUGCCGUUGUUUUGGCCAAAACGCAUGAAACAGUUGUUUCUUGUAAACCUCUAAGAACGGUUGUUGUCGUCGUCGUCGUCGUUUCGUCUUUUCCGUUCGAAUUGUUUAAAUAAACGCGUAUCAAUCGAAGCGUGGCGCUAAAAUAGAAAAACAAAUAAAAAAGUGCGCUGCUCAAUUUUAUGCCGGCAACAAGAAAUUUUAAUGGCAAGAAAUAAUAAAAAUAACUAACAACUACAACAUAGCAAAUAUUGUCGGCUGCCCGGCUGACUGGGCUGGUAGUUGAAAUCAGUAUUAAGUAAUAAUAAUGAAUGGGUCCAAGAAGUGAAAAAAGUCAAAAAAAGAAAGAAAUAUUAAUAAAUAAUAAAACAAAAAUACCUAUAAUGGGAAAGAAAUAAUAUUUGAUUUGAAAUUUAUCAUUCUGGAGGUGUUUUGUUUUUGGUUGAGAAUACUUAUCGAAAAUUGAAAAGCUUAUCAUUUUGUUUUUCGUCUGUCUUUGGGUUUUUGUUAACGGCCGUAUUUUAGGUGACAAUUUUUCAAGUGCGGUGCAGUGAAGUGAAAUGAGAGUGUGUGUGUGUUUUAUUUUCUCGAGAGUUUAUUGAUGGCCAAUGAAAAAAAAAAAAUAUAUUUAUAAAUAAAAAAAUAUAUAAAAUUGUAAGGUGUUAUAAAAAUUUCUCAGUUCAGAGAUAAAGAUAUAUUGUUAUAUGGCCAUCAAAAAAUAUUAAAAAAAUAAUAAAUAAUAAAUUUAACUUAAACUAAUAAAUAACAAAACGGCAACAUUUGGAAUACCAUCGAGUUGAUAUUAAUACACAUAACCACCGAUUGCCAACCUGCUGUGCCCUGCAAAUUCAAACUAAGCAUUAUAAAACAAAAAUAAAUAAAGAAAAAAUUGUGGAAAAAGAAAUACUUGAGUUCAGUAUCACCCAACGUUAGAGAAAUACAACCACAACAACAACACGGAGAACCCCAUCUAUCUGACAACAAAACAAGCUACCUUGGCUCCUUGGUGUAUUUAUGGUAUCCUUAAAACUUCCUUAAAAAUCCAUGUAAUUACCAAAAGAAAAUAACACUCUGCAACAUGCAAUCAUAAUUGGCCAAAGCCGUAACACAGCAAUCCAUUUGGAAAAAUUCAAAACUUCAAAAAAAAAAAAAAAUAGAAACAAAAAAUCUUUCACGUUGCCCCAAAUUGAAUUGAGGUGAUGACGAACAAGUGUUGCCACGUGAAAACCACUACCACCACCACCAAGUAAUGCUUCUGGCCAUAAGGAUAAUAACACCAGGAUUAUGCAAACAGAGCCAGCAGUUGUUCUAAAAAGACCACAACAUGCCAUCGACACUAUGUUGCACAAUGUGGCGGAGCAUUUGGAGGAGCACACACAGAAAUACUCGGCAAUGGUCAAGGGUAAAGCAGGUCAUUGCAACAGCGGUAAGCUGGUGGAUAACAACAGCAACACGAAAAGGUCCAACGAAACUCUGUCAUCAAUGGCAGCAGCAGCAGCUAAGGACUCAAUGAAAAAAUACUCAGAGCUAGAACAGCAUUAUGCAAAUGAGCCUGCGAAUGGUGUUCGAAUUGCACCUAGGGCCAUCAUUGCCACUGGCAAAGAGACUGAUAUUAAGAAGAAGCCAAAGAAGCUAGAACGCCCCCAAUAUUCUCCUGGAAAUAAGGCAAGCAGACAUCUGCCUGAGGAAACGGCAUUACAAAACCUUCUCCAUUGUAAUCAACAGAUCCUGGAGCAGAAAAACAAAUUGCUCAGCAGUAUUAUUAGCCCAUUUUCAGCAGCAGCAACAAAAACAACAACAGCAACAAAAAUCCAAAGCAAAGAGAUUCCCAUGUACCUGCCAUCCAUGAAGUCUAAUCACGAACUCCCAAUGCAGAAGGCCUCACAUCAUUACUCAAUUCCAACGUCAUUGUCAGCAUCUGACUCAAUGUUCUCCUUCUCCUUCUCAUCAUCAUCAUCCAUCUCCCAAUCCUUGCCA